ensembl:lncRNA MIR4713HG MIR4713 host gene
ACACGGUGUGCGCACCCACUGACCUGCGCCCACUGUCUGGCACUCCCUAGUGAGAUGAACUGGGUACCUCAGAUGGAAAUGCAGAAAUCACCCGUCUUCUGCGUCGCUCACGCUGGGAGCUGUAGACCGGAGCUGUUCCUAUUCGGCCAUCUUGGCUCCUCCUGCUUCUUUCCUUGAUAUGAUGUUCAAACCAGGAAAAUGUGCAAAUAUCAAGGUUACCUGGGUCUGCUGGUCACUUCUAGUUUUUGGACUCUUGAAGAUGCUGGACUGUACUGCUGCCAUCUCGGCUCACUGCAACCUCCCUGCCUGAUUCUCCUGCCUCAGCCUGCCCAGUGCCUGCGAUUGCAGGCGCGCGCCGCCACGCCUGACUGUUUUUCGUACUUUUUUGGUGGAGACGGGGUUCCCCUGUGUUGGCCGGGCUGGUCUCCAGCUCCUAAUCGCGAGUGAUCCGCCAGCCUUGGCCUCACAAGGUGCCGGGAUUGCAGACGGAGUCUCGUUCACUCACUGCUCAAUGGUGCCCAGGCUGGGGUGCAGUGGCGUAAUCUCGGCUGGCUACAACCU